CAGCGCUAGUCGCGGCCAAGCACUCCGCCGGAAGCCGUAAGGGUUCCCAGCGCGGCCGGUCCUGCGGCCCCUCGGCUCUCCCGGAGCCGCCUGCGAGACGAAGCGAGGCGAGACAGGAGGAUGAAGAUGACGGUGGAUUUCGAGGAGUGUUUGAAGGACUCGCCCCGCUUCAGGGCUGCUUUGGAAGAAGUAGAAGGAGAUGUAGCAGAAUUGGAACUAAAACUUGAUAAGCUUGUGAAGCUUUGUAUUGUGAUGAUUGAUACUGGAAAAGCCUUCUGUGUUGCAAAUAAACAGUUCAUGAAUGGAAUUCGAGACCUAGCACAGUACUCUAGUAAUGAUGCCGUAGUUGAGACAAGUUUGACCAAGUUUUCCGACAGCCUUCAAGAAAUGAUAAAUUUUCACACAAUCCUGUUUGACCAAACUCAAAGAUCAAUUAAGGCACAGCUUCAGAACUUUGUUAAAGAAGAUCUUAGAAAAUUCAAAGAUGCCAAGAAGCAAUUUGAAAAAGUCAGUGAAGAAAAGGAAAAUGCAUUAGUAAAAAAUGCCCAAGUACAAAGAAACAAACAGCACGAAGUUGAAGAAGCCACAAACAUUCUUACAGCAACAAGAAAAUGUUUUCGACACAUAGCCCUUGACUAUGUACUUCAGAUUAAUGUUCUUCAAUCAAAACGGAGAUCAGAAAUCCUAAAAUCAAUGUUAUCCUUUAUGUAUGCACAUUUGGCCUUCUUUCAUCAAGGAUAUGAUCUGUUUAGUGAACUUGGGCCCUACAUGAAAGACCUUGGAGCACAGUUGGAUCGACUGGUGGUGGAUGCAGCAAAGGAGAAAAGGGAGAUGGAACAAAAACAUUCCACCAUUCAACAAAAGGCUGCAUUACAGGAUUUCUCCAGUGAUGAUUCUAAGUUAGAAUACAAUGUAGACGCUGCAAAUGGCAUAGUCAUGGAAGGAUAUCUGUUCAAACGAGCCAGCAAUGCCUUCAAAACAUGGAACAGGAAAAAGCCCGAUCAUAUCAGACGCUGGUUUUCAAUACAGAACAAUCAACUGGUUUACCAGAAAAAGUUUAAGGAUAACCCCACAGUCGUAGUUGAAGAUCUCAGGCUCUGCACAGUAAAGCACUGUGAAGACAUAGAAAGACGAUUCUGCUUUGAGGUAGUCUCUCCCACAAAAAGUUGUAUGCUCCAGGCAGAUUCUGAAAAGCUGCGGCAGGCGUGGAUUAAGGCUGUCCAGACCAGUAUUGCAACUGCUUAUAGAGAGAAGGGCGAUGAAUCAGAGAAGCUGGAUAAGAAGUCAUCUCCAUCAACAGGAAGUCUAGAUUCUGGAAGUGAGUCAAAAGAGAAAUUACUGAAGGGAGAAAGUGCACUGCAACGAGUCCAGUGUAUCCCCGGCAAUGCCAGCUGUUGUGACUGUGGGCAGGCAGAUCCGCGGUGGGCCAGCAUCAACUUGGGCAUCACCUUGUGCAUCGAGUGCUCUGGGAUUCACCGGAGUCUUGGGGUUCAUUUUUCAAAAGUACGGUCUUUAACUUUAGACACCUGGGAGCCUGAACUUUUAAAGCUUAUGUGUGAGUUGGGGAAUGAUGUUAUAAAUCGUGUUUAUGAAGCUAAAGUGGAAAAAAUGGGAAUAAAGAAACCACAACCAGGACAAAGACAGGAGAAAGAGGCAUAUAUCAAAGCAAAAUAUGUGGAGAGAAAAUUUGUGGAUAAAUAUUCUAUAUCAUCAUCACCUCCUGAGCAGGGAAAAAAGACUGUCUCCAGAGGCUGCGAAGAAAAGAGGCUAAGCAUUUCUAAACUUGGGCCGGGUGACCCAAUCAGAUCGUCUGUCCAGAGUUCAGUGGUUGCUGUAAAUAGCGACGAGGCCAGGCGGGAGUCUCUGUUCUGUCCUGAUGAGCUAGAUUCACUCUUCUCCUACUUUGAUACUUCUUCAAAACUGCGUAGUAUCAAAAGUAAUGACAGUGGGAUCCAGCAAAGCUGCGAUGAUGGAAGAGAAUCUUUACCGUCCACAGUGUCAGCCAGUAGUUUAUAUGAACCUGAAGGAGAAAGACAAGAUUCUUCGGUGUUUCUCGACUCUAAACAUCUUAAUCCAGGACUUCAGCUUUAUAGAGCUUCAUAUGAAAAAAAUCUUCCGAAAAUGGCUGAGGCUUUGGCUCGUGGUGCAGAUGUAAACUGGGCUAAUUCAGAGGAAAACAAAGCAACACCACUUAUUCAGGCUGUAUUAGGGGGCUCUUUGGUGACAUGUGAGUUCCUCCUACAGAAUGGUGCUAAUGUGAACCAAAGAGAUGUCCAAGGGCGGGGACCACUGCACCAUGCCACCGUCUUAGGACACACAGGGCAGGUAUGUUUAUUCCUAAAGCGAGGUGCCAAUCAACAUGCCACUGAUGAAGAAGGGAAGGAUCCCUUGAGCAUAGCUGUGGAAGCAGCCAAUGCUGAUAUAGUAACCUUGUUACGUUUAGCAAGAAUGAAUGAAGAAAUGCGGGAAUCAGAAGGACUUUAUGGACAGCCAGGUCAAUAUUCCACUAAUAACCAUACUGAAAUGCAGUAUAAGAAAUGUAUUCAGGAAUUUAUCAGUUUACAAUUGGAAGAUUCAUAGUUCUUUAGCCACCUAACACGAUUCUAUGAGUUUUAAUAACCUACUUGUAAAUUGUGAAUUGUUAGCUAUGUACUGUACUUCCAGAAUUCUUGGGUGACUAAUCCUGGGCCUUUAAAAAUCCAUAACUGUUCCUAUUCCAGCACACAUUUACUUGCUAUAUUUAACUCUGGCUGCUGACUUCCUUAUCUCUUGUACAGAUGUCUUCCAUAUACAUUCCAGUGAAGUGAGUGGAAUGAUAAAAUAUUCCUUAUAUACUUACAGCAGCAAAAUAGUUGUUUACUCUUUGGAAUUCUUUUUAGUUAUUAAAUGAAUAUAACAAAAUUAUUUUCUUUUUGUUAUUCAGGGAAUUUCUAUAAAUGUGUUCAGGGAAAAAAAAAAACUCUAAACAAAAAUAACCACUAUAUGUUUGGCAUAUAAAAAAGUCAGUAUGAAAAAUAUUAAGAAAAAGCUUAUUGAUGAGUUUUGUAUUCUAAACUAAAAAUGAUUUGAAGAAGUAAAAUAUAAAUUUACUAGUAGGCUUAGAAGUUCAUAAUGGAAGUGGAGUUAAUUUAAAAGGUUGAAGGAAAAAGGUCCCGUUUUAUCUUUAUCUUAGCCCCAAGCAUUUGUAUAUAUCUGUUGUUUUGAUGAGUGGCAGUAUUUAGAACAGAAUUUUGUGAACGUGAUAGCAGAGUACACUUACUUUUAUUAGAGAAUCUCAACUCAUGAUCACCUCAAGUUUCAUUUUGACUCAUUUUUACCUGUGAGUCAAGUUGUCAAGAAAAGAAGUGUUGCGGUUCGGUUUCCUCUUUGAUGAACACAUGCUGAUUAGACAUUCUUCACAGAGAAGAGAGUAACUAUGGGGUCUCUAGUUUCAUGAUUUUGAGUAUAUGAAUUACUAAUCUAUCUUUAAAUUCAUAUACAUAUUAGUAAAAAUUUCAGAUAUUCAUAAAAAUACUUUAAAAUGUUAAGUUUUCAAUGAGUAUAUUUGAUUGUUUAAAAAUGAAUAUUGAAAAUAUUAUUUUUAAGGUGGCCUGGUAAUAUCAUCUCUUCUUUGUUUAAAUAUGUUGUAAAAUUUCUAUACUUUCUGAUAGCUUCAACCAUCUACUUUAACUCAAUAUUUAAUACCAAUAUGGGGGCAUUUUUUCUCAAAGGACUGUAUUUACUACUUAUUUUUGCCCUAAUUUAACAGGGAGCAAGUAAGGACUUUGAGAAUAGAGGCACUGGAGCUACAUGCUUCUAAUGUAGGGUGUCCCACUUUAAUCCUAUGGAUCAUAUGUACCACUGACUCAUGAUAUUCUAAGAUGUCAAAAUGCUGAUGACGGGUGAAGCUGUAGUGUUAACUCUGGAUUUCACCCAUUUGUUUUAAACUUGAGUGUUAGAUUUUAAACAUUAUAAUUUUGUAAGAGAUACACUUAAGUGAUAGUAUUACUAGGCCAGUUUUGAGGCCUUUAUGUUUAAGCACUUUAAAAAUAAAAAUUGAUCAAGGAUGUGACCUGACAUUUGUGAGAACAGUGGACUUCAGGAGUUUAAGUUAAACAGUUUUUUUCCUGAAAUUUUAAACUUAAAUGUUUGGUCAGCUGCUCUUUCCUUAAGGUGUUUGCUGAUGAAGUUCAACCACCUGAUUAGUCAGAAGGUCAGUGGACGACUCUUCUCUGGAGUUUGAAGCUUGAAAGGAGAGAACCUCGAUGUUCUUGCUACUUCUAGUUCCACCCGAAUUGCUUGGUUUUCUUCUGCCAUUGUUUAGAGCCCUCAGAUGUCUCUUUCACUGUUACGUAUGUGCAGGUUUAUAUAUAAGUAUAUGGACUUCUGUUAAUCAACAGAAACAUCAGUUUUUCCAAUUUAUUUUAAUGAAAAUUUGAAAAAGCCUCAUUUUGAAACAAACUUUUCUACCAUUCUCAAAUUUUAGUUUAGAGGUUAAAAAAUAGAUAGGAUUCUGGAAAGAGUGUAUCAGAAUAAAAUGAGAUUUUAAAAAAAAUCUAUUUUCAGAUCAUCUUGAAAAUAAUUAUAUUUAAGUCAUUUAUAGGUCCUAAUAUUUGAAACAAUAAUUUUACGCUUAUACAGGUGAUGUGGUGAAAUGACACAGCAAUUGCUCUCUACUUUUCCUUCCUGAGUCUUUGGAGAGCAGAUGUGUUUGGCAGUAGCUCUUUGUUUUUCAUCUGCUUACUGUAUCAGUAUAAACUUUUCUUUCAGAGACUGUUUGAUUGUUUUAUUAGCAACCUCCCUUCCCCCUUCUAAAGUGUCCUACUAAUAGAAAAUCUCAGAACUCUGGGUAGUUUAUAGGUACAGGAAUUUUAAGUCUUUUGGUAAUGAGGUCUGCCAUUUAAAAGAUUGAGAUAAAAUGUUUGGCAAUCAUAAACCUAUUUCUAGUCAACCCCAUUUCUGAACCUUCUGUCUACAACCCCAAAAAUCUGAGACUUCCAAUUUUUGGAAGGCAACGUUAAGAACUCAGUUUCUGAAGGGAGGAUGUGUCUCUCCUUGGUAGCCCCCAGAACUCUUAGGAGGCCUGAGUGGGUGAGGGAAAUAGCACACCCUGCUCUCAGGUAUUGGAAAUCAGUUGGUGGUUCCCUGUUUUGGGCUCUGUGACUCAUCUUGAUGGCUGGCAAGUUCUUAGCCAAAUGAGGAUCACUGGCCUGGGCACUAGUACUGGUUAUAUGAGUAGGGUAGCAGGCAAAGAUUGGAGAUCACUGACCUCAUCAGUUGUGGAGAGAAACUGUUACCAACCUAGUGGGUCAGGAUCAUGCAUAUGAUUACUUUGGGGUAGGGCUCUAAUGCUGUCGUCAGUUUGAGAGAGUUCUUUUUAAGAGCAAAGUCAGUAAACUAUUGAAUCAUCAUAACUGCUGUUAUAAUGGAUAUUCUGAAUCCCAAAACUUGAAAAUGAAUUUAAAUUAUCAAUGGAAACAAAGCAAUCUAUGUUUUAAAACCUCAGAACUGUCCAGGCACAUAGAAAAGCUUACUUUCUGAAAUGAAAAAGGAAUGUGGUUAAGUAAUUUAAAGAAUAUGCUUAGCUUAGCAUUACAGACAUCAGGGAAUCAGUUUUUUUUAUCAUUUGUAAUAAACCAUAAAAUGUACUUCUGGGAACAUUCUAGGACAGCAUAGUCUGGGUUUUGUUUAUGUGUUCUAGUGUAGACAAAUUAUAUUUGCCUUGGGAAAAAUUCCAAAUGAAUAAUCACAUUGAAAUUCAAUUUGUGGUAGCUAUGCUAAAUAUUUUAGUCACAAUUAUUCUUGUAACAUUUGCUUUUUGACAGCACAUUUUGAAGUCUAAGAAAGGUAGUAUGUUAACAGUGGAUUGAUUAAUGUUUUGUUAGAAACUGAAUGUUAGAAAGUUUUUUGUGUGUUUGAAGAUGGAAACCUCUCUUGUGUUGACUCUUUAAAUGUAUUCAGUCAGUGAAACCAAUGAUUAUUAUAGCACCAACACCUUUCCUUCAAGGAAGCAUUUAAUUCAGUGAAUGAAAGGUCUUCUAAUUUGCUUUGCAUGGUACAAUGGUCUGAUUCAAACAUACUUGUGUAAUAGGUACUAGAUCAUUUAAAAACAAAAGCUAGAAAAAAUACAGCUUGUUAUACAAAUAUGCAUUGCUAAUUGUAGAAGCCAUAUAUUGCCAUUGUACUGUUGUGAUACUUAAGAAUGCCCAUCUGGUGCUAUCUGUAAACUGUUUGGCAUUAGCAUCUGCUAGAUCCUUCUUCCUAUUUCUUCUUGAAUGUAUAAUGUGUGCCUUUUAAGUUACUUCUGGUGUUGAAUGGUAAAAUCAGUGUGGUAUUUUUGUAUUAUAAUCUGCACUUUACACUUUCUUGGGAGUAAAAUUCUAGACUAUCUAGUUUAAAUAGUAUUUUAAAAAUGUUUAUAAUGUUUACAAUAAAUAUUUUACAUAUUUUAAUUCAACAUCUAAAAAUAAGAAAAAAAUUUAAAUAUUUUGUAUGGUUUGUUAAUUGCUAUUUAUUGCUCUUAUUUUAUAUCUUUUAGAAUGGAUAAAAUGGGAAUAGAUCAUAGUUUGUCUUUUAAUGUGGAAAUGAACUUUAAAAAAUCAUGAGUAUAUUUGGAUUGUCUAACCACUUGUUCCAAUAUAUCAACUUUUUGGUUUUAGUAAAUCUUACUUUUUUCUUUUUAAAGUAGAUUGAUUAGGCUUAACUGAUUUUUUUUCAGGCCAUAAGUAAAUUUCUAGGGCUAAAAGAAAACUAUAUAUGAUUUUAAUAAAUUGCUUUUUAUAUAGACUAAAUAUUAACGGGAACUAAAUAUUAAAAGUAUUAAAAUCUUUAUUAAAAAAUCUUGGGUUAUGGUGUUAGGCCUUUUUACUAGAUCUUUAUUGCUCUUCCCCUACAUUUUUCUAAUUCUCUAGCUUUGAUAUGACAUCUAUUGCCUCAAAAAUCUUGCUCUUUAAAAGUGACAAAACUUACUGCACUAUUAACACCUGUAGCAACGAGUUUGUUAUAAGAUGGAUGCAAGGUAUCUUAUGAGAAAUUAAAAAACCAGGUUGUAACAGUAAUCAUCUAAAACAGUAUUUUAUGCUCAAAAUCUUGAGCGCAGAAUAUUCCAAGUGUCUCUGUAAAUCCUUCAUUGUUGGGUUGAUUUCUUAAAAUCUGUAAAGUGAAUGUUUAGCAGGAAGCAAACACGAUGAAUUAUUCAUUUUGAAAAUAAGAUUCUUUUGUCUGAUGCAUUAAUUUAUAUGUGUGUAUAUAAUUUCCCAUGGCAAGAAAAAUAGUAUUUAAUCUGCUAUAAUGUUAAUAUCUAUUAAUGUACAUCUCUUCAAGAAUAUUAUAUGUAUACAUAUUUAUUUCUCAACAAGUGGCUUUGGUAUUAACUCCCAUUUUGUUAUAGCAUUUUUUUUUCUGGUACUGGGGAAUCGAACUCAGGACCUUGCACUUGUGAGGCAGGCAUGGCAUCACUGAGCUAAAUACCUGGCUUGUAGAAUUUUUGCUCAUACAACCUACAGUAAACAAAACAACUUCUGACAAUGUAUGACUAUGGUUUUAUAGUCACUUUCUAGGCUUUUAAAAUUCCUAAGUGUAGUAAGCAGUGAAUUAGAUGCAUUAGUUUUAAGCAUUAAAGUUUGAGUAUGCUAUUUUAAUUUAAAUUUCGUCUAAUUAAAAGAUAAUCCAUAAAAGAAUGCUGUUUUUCCUUCUGAUUAUCACUUUGUCUUGAGAAUAACUUGCAUCCAUCAAGAACCACUAGUAUUUGGUUUUGGUAAUUUCUUUUGGCCUUUAACAAAGGAAAUUUUUAGUUAAACAAUGUCUCGUUUACUAUGCCUCACUUAGAAUGACUUUAAUUUCUCAUGUGUUAAUAAAUGUAUUUCUUUAUCUUGCUUAAAAACACCUGCAUCCUUGCUCUUUUCUAACUUUGAACUUUCCUGUGGCUGCCUCUGAGGUGCUUUUUUCAGGUGAUGAAACUUACCAGGAUAUUUUCCGUGAUUUUUCACAAAUGGCAUCCAAUAAUCCAGAGAAGCUAAAUCGUUUCCAGCAAGAUUCACAGAAAUUCUGAAUUUUUUUAAGAAGGGGGAAUAUAUGGAAUCUGCAGCUGAAAUAUAUAUGUGCAGCUGAAAACUCACAACUUUUACUGUUAUAAUUCUACUUACUUAAUUUUGGUAGAUAUUGAAUGGUUUGGGGGAAAAGUACCCAUUCAUUGAUAUUUUUAUAAAUUGAAACAUAGACCUCUCAUAGUUGGAAGAAGAGUCUACUUUAGUACCUUUUAUUGAAAGGGAAAAAAAAAAGCCUGUUUAAAGGGCUAUUUUUUUAAUAACUAGAAGUUGAAUCUAGAUUAGGGCCACCUCUGGGUUCCAAGAUGCUAAGUGAUUGCAGGGGGGGGAAACCUCUUCUCUUGCCAAUUAUACUAUUUUUUUUCUGUGCACCAUGCCUAGGAUCAUUCAGUGAAAAAUGCCUAUGUCAAGUGGGAACCAGUUAUCCCGCCUGUCUCAAGAACAUGUCUUUCUUUAGCUUCCCUGAUAAUUUUGGGUGGUUCAGAGAUAGUUGUAUUUUUUUUUUCUUGGUAACCUAGUUAUCAUAUACACACUAUAUGAUUUACUUAUUAGAACUAGAGAAUAUGCUUUCCCCCAUUUGCUCAGAAAUACCAUUGUACUCUUUAGAUUACAGCUUACUAGGUUAUUGACCACCACUCAACAGACACAUAAUGGCUGUUCAAGUAGAGUAAUUCAGUCCUUCAGAUUUAUUCCAUCUUAUGAAGAAAAGAAGCUCUUAAUUUUUUUUUCAACCAUCAAAAGGAUCCCAGUUCAAAACUUGUAGUUCUUUAUUGUUGGGAUUAUUUCCUAAAACCUUAACAGAUUAUCAGUGUAAUAAAACUGUGUUUCAAAGAUUACUUGAAUGUUGCAAAAUUAUAUUUUAAUCAAAAUGUAAGUUCCAAAAGAAAAGUUGAUUUAUUAAAUUUUGUAGGGCUUUUUUUUUUUUUUGGUACCAGGGAUCAAACUCGGGUCUUUGCGCUUGCGCAGCAGGCGGUGAAACCACUGAGCUAAAUCCCCGGCCCUGUAGGGCUUUUUAUAUUUGAAAUUUGUUAUUUUUAAGAUACAGUUUUCCUAAUGCUCCUGGUGAAAAAUCUCUUUGCAUAUUGGAGAAAAAAGCCUCCUUUUCUUAUCAUAUUAAAAUAUACAGCAGUAAAUUCCUUUAUUCUUUUCUACAUCUAUCCUUUGUACUGUACACAGUCUACAUUUUUUUGAAUUAUGAGUAUAGUUUUAGAAUUUGGUGAUAUGAAUCACAGACCCUUGAGUUCCAAGAUACUAUGAAUAUACCUGUUUACCAUUUAUAUACUACAAACUAGUCUGAUUACACUUUUGACAUGUUUUAUCAGGAAUAUAGAAUAAUUAAAUAAUUUGCCUUAUGGUUCCUUUUCAGUGUUGUGAAUAAUUGAGUUUAAUAUUCUCUUAGAAAUUAUGUCAGUAAUGUUAUUGGUACUCAGUUUCUAAGACAAGGUUUUAAACUUCUAAAAGAGAUAUUUAAUUAGAAAGAUAAUACAUUUUUUCUAACAUUUUUCCCUAAUAAGUAGAAUCCUAUAAGUUUAUUAAACACCAAAUCAGAAUCUAAGCAGGAAUUAUACUGAAAUCAAUUCACAUCAUAGAAAAGGUUCCAUAAUUGGGUCAAAUUGCAAGCAUGUAAUGCUUAUUUACUAAUAAUAGUCACUGUAUAUUAGAUAAAGAUAAAAAUGUAGUUGUAAGUUAUUUCUGAGGAAAUACCUCCAAAGCAUUAUAUUUUACUUACAACAUAGCAGAAACAGUAAUUUUUCCUGUUUUUAUGUGAGUCACAGAUCAUCUGGCUUUGUAGAUACUUAAGUUUAAAGGUAAAAGUCUGACUUGUAACAUUUUUAUUAGAUUGUAUUUUGAAAUCAGUUGACCUACAGAUGUCAAGGAAGACAAAUGUAUUAAAACAAACAGAAGGGAAGGAAGACAGAAAAGAAAGCCUCACUUUUCCUUUAUACAUAGUGUCUGCUCCUGUUUUAAUCCUAGAUGUUGCUCCUAAAGCCCCUGGCCUUUGUCAGGUUUCCUUUUGGACCCCGUCCUUGGUGCUUGAGACCACCUCUGGGGCCUCUGGUGAUGAGGGGACUCAUUGUGACACCCUUACCUCCUUGGUUUGCAUCAUGAGUUGUACCGUGAUAGUAAUUAGUGUCUACUUACAUUCAAAGGUCAGAGAUGGACCUGAAGUGCCGUACAGGUGGUCAUGGUUUUGAAUUGAGUAUUUUCAGAGAAAGCCAAAUCUUUAAUGUUGCAGGGAGACUGCACUACAAAAAUACGUAACUGUGGCUUUAUUUCUUGAAUGUGCUUGAGACGCCACCUGAAUUAAAUUUGGCAGAAACGAUGGAGUAAACCACAAGACUUUAAAUUAAUAGUCACAAGGUAGGUUGGCUCUUAGGUGAAUUUCACUGUGUAUGCUAAUAGCUUUUGUAUAGUAUGUAACAAAUCUGAGUUUUGUUAUGCUGUGAAUUAUUCAGUGCAUUAUGAGAAAUUGUAGUAUAAACCAUGUUAAUCUUACUCUUGGGCUUCUUAGUCUAUGUGAUUGCCCUUUAUUUUCUUCCCAUAACUGAUCUGAUAAGAGUUUUUGAUUCUUUAUCAUUAUUCGAUUAGCUCAUUAUGUUUAGUCCACUCACUUGAAAAUUGGAUUAAUAUCAAAAUAAGAAUAGUAGCACUAUGAAGAGUUUAUAAAAAAGUUUCAUUUUAGAAUUAGACUAGAGGUAAUUGAGCAGUUAUUUGCAAUUCUUCAUUGUAACAUUUGCCAUGUGUUAGAUUUUUAGAGUUUAAAAAAUUAUUUUUAGUACAAUCCUUAGAAAUUCAGAAAUUUCCAUGGACUUAACUGUGUUACAGUGUGCCUAACUUACACUGGUUUUCACUGCAGAUUUUCAUGAACUUUGAAGUUUACUUUCCCAAACAUACAGGCUUAAUUUGUAACAUGUACUUUAGUUUUUCCUAAAUGCAUUUUAGGAAACAAUUUAGACCUUUACAAACAGUCUGGAAAAUUUUAAGUUUGUGACAAUGUCAGCAGUAUUUAAAAAAUUAAUUUUAUGCAUGUUAAGUAUGGUCACAAUAAACCAAAUUGUGUUUAAGAUUAAAUAUACUACCCAUUUGGAAUAACCAACAUUCCUAGAUUACACUUACAUUGUCAAGUUAACUCUUUUGUAUGAUAGCACUUUUGACAUGAGCUGGAAAAAUGAUAUAUUUUUAUAGAAAUUAUGUCCAGAAUGACUUUCGAGCUAUGUGAUGUAGUGGAAAGGGCACUGGAGUAGUAGUCACUACCCUUUUUGAUUCAGGGCUUCUCACAGAUGAAAUGAGCGGAUGAAGCAAGGUGAAAAUAUAAAAAGAUCAGUUUGUGUUUUACUAUUUACAGUGUACUUGGAUCUUAGUUUAUCUUGCCUGAUUCUCACCGUAGGACUUCUGAGAUCUUAGAGCUUCAACCUUGCUUUUUGAUCCUAGUGUGCUCCCCUUGUUUUACAGACAUGGUCCCUCAGUUUGCAAGUUGGUGGCACAGGUGACACCAGAACCCAGGUCUGACUAACUGCAAGUCAGAGGCACUUUACUUGUAUCAUGAAAUGUUGAGAUCAUUGCAAGGCAGCAAAAUCUGAUAAUGACUGCCAGCUUUCCUUGUAUUUUAUAACAAAGAUGCCAACUGUUCUGGAGGACCUUGAUACAAGGAUUGAAGGAAUAGAUUGGGAUUUGAAAACAUCAGAUUGUAGGAAAAUUUACAUUUUUGUAAUGGGAAACAUCAAUGAAAACAAAACAUUACAAAGGUAAUUUUAAUUCAGCAUUUACUGAUUUCUUGAUGCUUUCAAAUGAAAGAGAUAAAAGAGGCUUGGAUUUAGUUUUGUUGAAUCCUAACGUGUAUAAAGAUGGUUUUAUGGACAUCAUUUUCUGUUUAAAUUUAUUCACUUAAAAUUGUAUAAUUUGGGGACAAAGCAGGAUUUGAUUAAAUGUAAUUUUCUCUGCAUUGGUCUUCUAGAUUUACUUUCUCUCACUCCCCCAAAUCCCUAUUUUGGGUGUUAAUCUUCAACAGGGAAAGCUUGGUACAUUAUAAAGGUUGUUGGCACCAUUUAUUUUACACAAAGGGUAAAGGUUAACUUUUGGAAAUGGUGAGCUACUUUUCUGUAUGUGUUUACUUGUGCUUUGUGAUAGUUUUGGAUCAUUCCAGUCAUAAAGACCUACUACAUGUAAUAUUUCUUGCUACCUGUGAAAAGGUAUAUUUUAAAGAAUGUAUAACCAACACUCCAUUUACUUUUUAUUAGUAUGUAGAGGAUUUGUAUCUAAUUCAUGAAUGUAGUUUUACUCUAGUCUAUCAUUGUAAAUGGAGCAAAGUACAUACUUUAUUGUUAUAGCUAUUCUAAACUGUACAUUAUGUAAGAAUUGUAAAUAUACUUGAUUAAUUUGUAUGCUGAAAAAUUACAAUAAUAAGUCAAUAAAAAUCUUACCUCUGGCAGUU